GCAAGUCGAACGAACUCUGGUAUUGAUUGGUGCUUGCAUCAUGAUUUACAUUUGAGUGAGUGGCGAACUGGUGAGUAACACGUGGGAAACCUGCCCAGAAGCGGGGGAUAACACCUGGAAACAGAUGCUAAUACCGCAUAACAACUUGGACCGCAUGGUCCGAGCUUGAAAGAUGGCUUCGGCUAUCACUUUUGGAUGGUCCCGCGGCGUAUUAGCUAGAUGGUGGGGUAACGGCUCACCAUGGCAAUGAUACGUAGCCGACCUGAGAGGGUAAUCGGCCACAUUGGGACUGAGACACGGCCCAAACUCCUACGGGAGGCAGCAGUAGGGAAUCUUCCACAAUGGACGAAAGUCUGAUGGAGCAACGCCGCGUGAGUGAAGAAGGGUUUCGGCUCGUAAAACUCUGUUGUUAAAGAAGAACAUAUCUGAGAGUAACUGUUCAGGUAUUGACGGUAUUUAACCAGAAAGCCACGGCUAACUACGUGCCAGCAGCCGCGGUAAUACGUAGGUGGCAAGCGUUGUCCGGAUUUAUUGGGCGUAAAGCGAGCGCAGGCGGUUUUUUAAGUCUGAUGUGAAAGCCUUCGGCUCAACCGAAGAAGUGCAUCGGAAACUGGGAAACUUGAGUGCAGAAGAGGACAGUGGAACUCCAUGUGUAGCGGUGAAAUGCGUAGAUAUAUGGA
rnacentral:rRNA from 1 species